AUGGCGGCGUCGUGGUGGCCCCGGAUGUGUUCCGGCGCCAGCACCCUCACGCUGCUCUUCUCCACCACGAACCGCCCCCGCGCCGGCGCCACCAUGGCCGCCGCCACGCACACCGCCAGCACGGCAGCCAAGAACUGCCUAGCGCCACCGCCGCCGCCCAUUUCCGCGCGCACGAUCAGUCGAAUGGAGCUGCGGCUGUCGAGAGAGGGGGAGAAUUUGGGCGAGGAGGCGUUUGGUGAGAGCGAGGUUAGGUGGGCUCGGACGGAGGAGAGAAAUGGUUCGGUUCUUGCCGGGCUCCUACUGCUCGUGAUUCGCGAGGGAGGCGCGCGGGGUUGGGAUGAUGACGACGGGAGGGAGGGGGGUGUUGCUUGGAGUGUACUGCUGCGGUGCGGAGGAGGCUGA
rnacentral:rRNA from 1 species